UACGUAGGGCGCGAGCGUUGUCCGGAGUUACUGGGCGUAAAGCGCACGCAGGCGGUCUGCUAAGUUUGGAGUGACAGUUGGUGGCUUAACUGCCAAAGUGCUUCGAAAACUGACAGACUUGAGGGCUUCAGAGGGACACGGAAUUCCGGGUGGAGUGGUGAAAUGCGUAGAGAUCCGGAGGAACACCAGUGGCGAAGGCGGCUCACUGGACCGGUUCUGACGCUGAAGCGCGAAAGCGUGGGGAGCAAACGGG
rnacentral:rRNA from 1 species